UAAAAUAUUGUUGUUUCUAUAUUAAAAAUAAGGCCUGUAUGUCCAUAUAUUCUUUUUCACCUUUGAUGGAUACGUUUUCUUUUUUUUAGGAAAUAGUAACCAAUUAGAUCUCUGAUGUACAUGGGUGGAUCGUAAGGCCCAUAAAUGUUACACAUCCAACUUAAAUGAGAUAAAAUAUAACAUUAUACCAUCCUCCAGUCUUUCCGUCCAUAUGUCACAAAAUUGCUUUCUGUUCUCUAACUUUAGUUUGCCUAAACUAGAUGUUAUGAAACUAUACAUAACUCUUAUUAAGACAAAACUCAAAUGAAGUACACUUUUACCAUUGUUGAAUUAUGUCUCUUUCUAAUGUUAUAUGG
rnacentral:lncRNA from 1 species